UCUAGGUCUAGUCCUUAAGUUUUCCAUCUGAGACCACCCAUUUUUUCUCUCCUUUCCCUGAUUACUCAGAAUCCACAUAUCCCAGAGGGAGUGGCUAUAAGAGAGGGGAGGCCCACUCAUCUCUCACAGACUCUGAUGAGAAUAUCAAAUAAAUUGUGAUUGUGUCAGGUUGUUAAGAUUUUCCUAAGACAUCCAUCCUUUCUCAUCAAUCAAGCAUGAACUAGUUGAAAAACUAUCAAGUCCUUAUUGGAAUCGUUUCAAGGUGAAAUACUUUGUACAGCAUUAAUUUAAACAUGUUUAUUUAUCACAGAACUUUUCAGAGAACUUAUUAUAAUAUCUAUUUGUGAAUCUUCUAGAGCAAUGUGGAAGACUCAAAUUUGACCUAAGGCCUUUGUUCUUUCAUGGAAAGAAAAUUCCAAGGAAUGCAGUAGAGGGAAAUGCUUUAUCAAAGGCUUGAAGAAUGCUCAAACUCUUCUGAAAGUUCAAAUAGGAAAAGGUUUCAGUACUUUGCUCCAUAGUAUAUCAUUGGUAUUUCUGAGACUAUGCUCAGGGACACUGCCAUUAUUGCUGUCUUGAAGGAGAAAAAGUGUAGUUACAGCAAUAAACUGUUCUUGAAUGCAAUAAGUAGGAAGCCAUUAGCCUGAGAUUGUCUCCAUACUUGAGUUCCUACUUAAUGGACCCCAACCUAACUUGACCUGGAUACCUUACUUGUUUCUUUUUUUUUUUUUUUGCAACAAAUAACUAUUUUAGCCAAUCACAAACACCCAAGAUUCAGCCAAUGGAGCUAACUGAUCACAUUAUUCCCCUCAAGUGGCAAAUGCCCAGGCAUUAGCCAAUCAGGUGAUGUCCUACUCAGUCUGCUCUGCACUCAGCCUGUGGAAGCUCACUGCUCACACUGCCAGGCAGAGCAUUCUAGCCUCUCUUGUUCUGAGUGCUUCCUGGCUCACGAAUCAUUCUUGGCUCAAAUAAAUUCUGAUAAAUUUACUUUGUCUAAAGUUGUUCUUUUAA
rnacentral:lncRNA from 1 species